rnacentral:misc_RNA from 1 species
GAUGAAGAACGUAGCAAAAUGCGAUACUUGGUGUGAAUUGCAGAAUCCCGUGAACCAUCGAGUUUUUGAACGCAAGUUGCGCCCGAAGCCUUUUGGCCGAGGGCACGUCUGCCUGGGCGUCACGCAUCGCGUCGCCCCCCACAAUUCUCCGCAAAAGGAACAUGUGUUUUGGGGGCGGAUAUUGGUCUCCCGUGCUCAUGGCGUGGUUGGCCGGAAUAGGAGUCCUUUCGAUGGACGCACGAACUAGUGGUAGUCGUAAAAACCCUCGUCUUUUGUUUCGUGCUGUUGCUCGCAAGGUAAACUCUUUAAAAACCCCAAUGUGUCGUCUCUUGACGACGCUUCGACCGCGACCCCAGGUCAGGCGGGACUACCCGCUGAGUUUAAGCAUAUCAAUAAGCGGAGGA